rnacentral:misc_RNA from 1 species
UCUCCGUUGGUGAACCAGCGGAGGGAUCAUUACAGAGUUGCAAAACUCCCAACCCUUUGUGAACGAACCUGACAGUUGCUUCGGCAGAAGGCCCUUCACUGGGCAGCCCGCCGGAGACCACUAAACUCUUGUUUUUUUUAACACUGGCCUCUCUGAGUUUACUGUACUGUAAUAAGUCAAAACUUUCAACAACGGAUCUCUUGGUUCUG